GGUUAAGCGACUAAGCGUACACGGUGGAUGCCCUGGCAGUCAGAGGCGAUGAAGGACGUGCUAAUCUGCGAUAAGCGUCGGUAAGGUGAUAUGAACCGUUAUAACCGGCGAUUUCCGAAUGGGGAAACCCAGUGUGAUUCGUCACACUAUCAUUAACUGAAUCCAUAGGUUAAUGAGGCGAACCGGGGGAACUGAAACAUCUAAGUACCCCGAGGAAAAGAAAUCAACCGAGAUUCCCCCAGUAGCGGCGAGCGAACGGGGAGCAGCCCAGAGCCUGAAUCAGUGUGUGUGUUAGUGGAAGCGUCUGGAAAGGCGUGCGAUACAGGGUGACAGCCCCGUACACAAAAAUGCACAUGCUGUGAGCUCGAUGAGUAGGGCGGGACACGUGGUAUCCUGUCUGAAUAUGGGGGGACCAUCCUCCAAGGCUAAAUACUCCUGACUGACCGAUAGUGAACCAGUACCGUGAGGGAAAGGCGAAAAGAACCCCGGCGAGGGGAGUGAAAAAGAACCUGAAACCGUGUACGUACAAGCAGUGGGAGCACAGAGCAAUCUGUGUGACUGCGUACCUUUUGUAUAAUGGGUCAGCGACUUAUAUUCUGUAGCAAGGUUAACCGAAUAGGGGAGCCGAAGGGAAACCGAGUCUUAACUGGGCGUUAAGUUGCAGGGUAUAGACCCGAAACCCGGUGAUCUAGCCAUGGGCAGGUUGAAGGUUGGGUAACACUAACUGGAGGACCGAACCGACUAAUGUUGAAAAAUUAGCGGAUGACUUGUGGCUGGGGGUGAAAGGCCAAUCAAACCGGGAGAUAGCUGGUUCUCCCCGAAAGCUAUUUAGGUAGCGCCUCGUGAAUUCAUCUCCGGGGGUAGAGCACUGUUUCGGCAAGGGGGUCAUCCCGACUUACCAACCCGAUGCAAACUGCGAAUACCGGAGAAUGUUAUCACGGGAGACACACGGCGGGUGCUAACGUCCGUCGUGAAGAGGGAAACAACCCAGACCGCCAGCUAAGGUCCCAAAGUCAUGGUUAAGUGGGAAACGAUGUGGGAAGGCCCAGACAGCCAGGAUGUUGGCUUAGAAGCAGCCAUCAUUUAAAGAAAGCGUAAUAGCUCACUGGUCGAGUCGGCCUGCGCGGAAGAUGUAACGGGGCUAAACCAUGCACCGAAGCUGCGGCAGCGACGCUUAUGCGUUGUUGGGUAGGGGAGCGUUCUGUAAGCCUGCGAAGGUGUGCUGUGAGGCAUGCUGGAGGUAUCAGAAGUGCGAAUGCUGACAUAAGUAACGAUAAAGCGGGUGAAAAGCCCGCUCGCCGGAAGACCAAGGGUUCCUGUCCAACGUUAAUCGGGGCAGGGUGAGUCGACCCCUAAGGCGAGGCCGAAAGGCGUAGUCGAUGGGAAACAGGUUAAUAUUCCUGUACUUGGUGUUACUGCGAAGGGGGGACGGAGAAGGCUAUGUUGGCCGGGCGACGGUUGUCCCGGUUUAAGCGUGUAGGCUGGUUUUCCAGGCAAAUCCGGAAAACUAAGGCUGAGGCGUGAUGACGAGGCACUACGGUGCUGAAGCAACAAAUGCCCUGCUUCCAGGAAAAGCCUCUAAGCAUCAGGUAACAUCAAAUCGUACCCCAAACCGACACAGGUGGUCAGGUAGAGAAUACCAAGGCGCUUGAGAGAACUCGGGUGAAGGAACUAGGCAAAAUGGUGCCGUAACUUCGGGAGAAGGCACGCUGAUAUGUAGGUGAAGCGACUUGCUCGUGGAGCUGAAAUCAGUCGAAGAUACCAGCUGGCUGCAACUGUUUAUUAAAAACACAGCACUGUGCAAACACGAAAGUGGACGUAUACGGUGUGACGCCUGCCCGGUGCCGGAAGGUUAAUUGAUGGGGUCAGCGCAAGCGAAGCUCUUGAUCGAAGCCCCGGUAAACGGCGGCCGUAACUAUAACGGUCCUAAGGUAGCGAAAUUCCUUGUCGGGUAAGUUCCGACCUGCACGAAUGGCGUAAUGAUGGCCAGGCUGUCUCCACCCGAGACUCAGUGAAAUUGAACUCGCUGUGAAGAUGCAGUGUACCCGCGGCAAGACGGAAAGACCCCGUGAACCUUUACUAUAGCUUGACACUGAACAUUGAGCCUUGAUGUGUAGGAUAGGUGGGAGGCUUUGAAGUGUGGACGCCAGUCUGCAUGGAGCCGACCUUGAAAUACCACCCUUUAAUGUUUGAUGUUCUAACGUUGACCCGUGAUCCGGGUUGCGGACAGUGUCUGGUGGGUAGUUUGACUGGGGCGGUCUCCUCCUAAAGAGUAACGGAGGAGCACGAAGGUUGGCUAAUCCUGGUCGGACAUCAGGAGGUUAGUGCAAUGGCAUAAGCCAGCUUGACUGCGAGCGUGACGGCGCGAGCAGGUGCGAAAGCAGGUCAUAGUGAUCCGGUGGUUCUGAAUGGAAGGGCCAUCGCUCAACGGAUAAAAGGUACUCCGGGGAUAACAGGCUGAUACCGCCCAAGAGUUCAUAUCGACGGCGGUGUUUGGCACCUCGAUGUCGGCUCAUCACAUCCUGGGGCUGAAGUAGGUCCCAAGGGUAUGGCUGUUCGCCAUUUAAAGUGGUACGCGAGCUGGGUUUAGAACGUCGUGAGACAGUUCGGUCCCUAUCUGCCGUGGGCGCUGGAGAACUGAGGGGGGCUGCUCCUAGUACGAGAGGACCGGAGUGGACGCAUCACUGGUGUUCGGGUUGUCAUGCCAAUGGCACUGCCCGGUAGCUAAAUGCGGAAGAGAUAAGUGCUGAAAGCAUCUAAGCACGAAACUUGCCCCGAGAUGAGUUCUCCCUGACUCCUUGAGAGUCCUGAAGGAACGUUGAAGACGACGACGUUGAUAGGCCGGGUGUGUAAGCGCAGCGAUGCGUUGAGCUAACCGGUACUAAUGAACCGUGAGGCUUAACCUU
rnacentral:rRNA from 2 species